rnacentral:rRNA from 1 species
AUUGAACGCUGGCGGCAGGCUUAACACAUGCAAGUCGAGCGGAAACGAUGAUAGCUUGCUAUCAGGCGUCGAGCGGCGGACGGGUGAGUAAUGCUUAGGAAUCUACCAAGUAGUGGGGGAUAGCCAUUGGAAACGAUGAUUAAUACCGCAUAUAUCCUACGGGGGAAAGCAGGGGAUCUUCGGACCUUGCGCUAUUUGAUGAGCCUGAGUGAGAUUAGCUAGUUGGUGAGGUAAAGGCUCACCAAGGCGACGAUCUCUAGCUGGUCUGAGAGGAUGAUCAGCCACACUGGGACUGAGACACGGCCCAG